rnacentral:misc_RNA from 1 species
UACUGAAUUGUUAACAUGAGUUGUUGCUGGCCCCCAAACAGAGGCAUGUGCACACUCUGUUUACACAUCCACUCACACCUGUGCACCCUCUGUAGUUCUAUGGCCUGGGUGACUCUGUCCCCUUGCGGUUGUUCUGCAUCUUUACACACAUACACUGUUACAUAGUCUUGUGGAAUGUAUCCUGCAUAUUAUGCAAUACAAUACAACUUUCAGCAACGGAUCUCUUGGCUCUCGCAUCGAUGAAGAACGCAGCGAAAUGCGAUAAGUAAUGUGAAUUGCAGAAUUCAGUGAAUCAUCGAAUCUUUGAACGCACCUUGCACUCCUUGGUAUUCCGAGGAGUAUGCCUGUUUGAGUGUCAUUAAAUUCUCAAAACCUAUUGUUCUUGAAUGGUAGGCUUUGGAUGUGAGGGCUUUGCUGGCCUUUGACGGGUUCAGCUCCCUUUGAAUGCAUUAGUGGUUGCUUAUCCGCUUUCAAUUGGUGUGAUAGUUAUCUACGCCUUUUGAAGUGGAAUCGCUUGCUUAUCCGCUUCUAACCGUCUUGUUAUAUUGGACAAGUCUUGACCAUU